rnacentral:misc_RNA from 1 species
CAGGCCUCCCUCUGCUUGGUUCCAGUCGUAGGCAUGAGUGACGGGCGAUGCUUGAUGGCUUUGAUGCCAUCGGUGGGAAUGUGUUUAAGCAUCGGCCUUCCCUCAUGCCCACGAUGGUCUACAAUCUUGAGUAUGAGUCAGUGAUGAUGCUUGUUUGUUUUGAUGCUUGCGUUUGAACUUGCUUGGGCAACCGACCUGACGAAGUACCCAUGAAUGUCGCUCACGAUGGUCUACAGUCUUGUGUAUGAGUUAGUGACGAUGCUUGUUUGUUUUGAUGCUUGCGUUUGAACUUGCUUGAGCAACCGACCUGACGAAGUACCCAUGAAUGUCGCCCACGAUGGUCUACAGUCUUGGUUAUGAGUCAUUGACGAUGCUUGUUUGUUUUGAUGCUUGCGUUUGAACUUGCUUGAGCAACCGACCUGACGAAGUACCCAUGAAUGUCGCCCACGAUGGUCUACAGUCUUGGGUAUGAGUCAGUGAUGAUGCUUGUUUGUUUUGAUGCUUGCGUUCGAACUUGCUUAAGCAACCGACCUGACAAAGUACCCAUGAAUGUCGCCCAUGAUGGUCUACAGUCUUGGGUAUGAGUCAGUGACGAUGCUUGUUUGUUUUGAUGCUUGCGUUUGAACUUGCUUAAGCAACCGACCUGAUGAAGUACCCAUGAAUGUCGGAGGGGGUGAUGUUGAGAGCCGGAAGGCAAGGGGGUGCAAACACCAGUCGGCCUUUGUCCCGAUUGCUGAGUGUUAUGUGCUUGACGUCCAAGGCUUGAUUCUGACCCUCCAAGUGGGGCUUGUUCCUGCACCAAUGGCUUUUGCCAGGGUCAUGGCGUUUGUUAUGAUUGAAAAAUUGAGGGGGUGAUGUUGAGAGCCGGAAGGCAAGGGGGUGCAAACACCAGUCGGCCUUUGUCCCGAUUGCUGAGUGUUAUGUGCUUGAUGUCCAAGGCUUGAUGCUGACCCUCCAAGUGGGGGCUUUUUUGUUCCUGCGGUAACGACUUUGUUGGGAUCAUUGUGAUCAAGUUUGGUUGGUUUCGUAUUGUGGUGGGUUUUUUCGAAGCUUCUAUUGUUCUUUUACGCAUCGUGCGGUGCAUCUUGGGGGCUGUUUUGGCUUUUGGUUGCUUGCUUGGGCUUUAUGCUAGGCGGGUCGCUAAU